GGUUAAGCGACUAAGCGUACACGGUGGAUGCCCUGGCAGUCAGAGGCGAUGAAGGGCGUGCUAAUCUGCGAUAAGCGUCGGUAAGGUGAUAUGAACCGUUAUAACCGGCGAUACCCGAAUGGGGAAACCCAGUGUGAUUCGUCACACUAUCAUUAACUGAAUCCAUAGGUUAAUGAGGCGAACCGGGGGAACUGAAACAUCUAAGUACCCCGAGGAAAAGAAAUCAACCGAGAUUCCCCCAGUAGCGGCGAGCGAACGGGGAGGAGCCCAGAGCCUGAAUCAGCAUGUGUGUUAGUGGAAGCGUCUGGAAAGGCGCGCGAUACAGGGUGACAGCCCCGUACACAAAAGCGCAUGUGCUGUGAGCUCGAUGAGUAGGGCGGGACACGUGGUAUCCUGUCUGAAUAUGGGGGGACCAUCCUCCAAGGCUAAAUACUCCUGACUGACCGAUAGUGAACCAGUACCGUGAGGGAAAGGCGAAAAGAACCCCGGCGAGGGGAGUGAAAAAGAACCUGAAACCGUGUACGUACAAGCAGUGGGAGCCCCACCACUAAGCCAGUGGUGAACUCCACAUCCGCAUCCUUUGCUGAGGAUACGGUUAACGGAGCGAAAGCGACGUUCAACCGCAAAACAAGCAGAGGGGGCUUAG
rnacentral:rRNA from 1 species